UGCUAUUGUGCUUGUUUAAGUAAAAAUUUGCUUAAACUAGAUGCUUAUAUAAUAUCUGAACACACUAAUUUACUGUGUGAAUCUUUGUUGACGCACAGCAUGGGGGCCACACAAAUGCUUUCACUGCAUCAGAAUACACCAACUAUUACUUUGAUGUCAAUGCGGAUGCUUUUGAGGAGGCUCUUGAUAGGUUUGCACAAUUUUUUAUCAAGCCGCUCAUGUCUCCUGAUGCUACCAUGAGAGAAAUCAAAGCUGUAGAUUCAGAACAUCAAAAGAAUUUGCUUUCUGAUAUAUGGCGCAUGAACCAGGUAUUUUCAUUAUCCAAUGAC